GAUUAAGUUAUUAAGGGCGCACGGUGGAUGCCUUGGCACUAGAAGCCGAUGAAGGACGUUACUAACGACGAUAUGCUUUGGGGAGCUGUAAGUAAGCUUUGAUCCAGAGAUUUCCGAAUGGGGAAACCCAGCAUGAGUUAUGUCAUGUUAUCGAUAUGUGAAUACAUAGCAUAUCAGAAGGCACACCCGGAGAACUGAAACAUCUUAGUACCCGGAGGAAGAGAAAGAAAAUUCGAUUCCCUUAGUAGCGGCGAGCGAAACGGGAAGAGCCCAAACCAACAAGCUUGCUUGUUGGGGUUGUAGGACACUCUAUACGGAGUUACAAAGGACGACAUUAGACGAAUCAUCUGGAAAGAUGAAUCAAAGAAGGUAAUAAUCCUGUAGUCGAAAAUGUUGUCUCUCUUGAGUGGAUCCUGAGUACGACGGAGCACGUGAAAUUCCGUCGGAAUCUGGGAGGACCAUCUCCUAAGGCUAAAUACUCUCUAGUGACCGAUAGUGAACCAGUACCGUGAGGGAAAGGUGAAAAGCACCCCGGAAGGGGAGUGAAAUAGAACCUGAAACCGUGUGCUUACAAGUAGUCAGAGCCCGUUAAUGGGUGAUGGCGUGCCUUUUGUAGAAUGAACCGGCGAGUUACGAUUUGAUGCAAGGUUAAGCAGUAAAUGUGGAGCCGUAGCGAAAGCGAGUCUGAAUAGGGCGUUUAGUAUUUGGUCGUAGACCCGAAACCAGGUGAUCUACCCUUGGUCAGGUUGAAGUUCAGGUAACACUGAAUGGAGGACCGAACCGACUUACGUUGAAAAGUGAGCGGAUGAACUGAGGGUAGCGGAGAAAUUCCAAUCGAACCUGGAGAUAGCUGGUUCUCUCCGAAAUAGCUUUAGGGCUAGCCUCAAGUGAUGAUUAUUGGAGGUAGAGCACUGUUUGGACGAGGGGCCCCUCUCGGGUUACCGAAUUCAGACAAACUCCGAAUGCCAAUUAAUUUAACUUGGGAGUCAGAACAUGGGUGAUAAGGUCCGUGUUCGAAAGGGAAACAGCCCAGACCACCAGCUAAGGUCCCAAAAUAUAUGUUAAGUGGAAAAGGAUGUGGCGUUGCCAGACAACUAGGAUGUUGGCUUAGAAGCAGCCAUCAUUUAAAGAGUGCGUAAUAGCUCACUAGAGUGACACUGCGCCGAAAAUGUACCGGGGCUAAACAUAUUACCGAAGCUGUGGAUUGUCCUUUGGACAAUGGUAGGAGAGCGUUCUAAGGGCGUUGAAGCAUGAUCGUAAGGACAUGUGGAGCGCUUAGAAAUGAGAAUGCCGGUGUGAGUAGCGAAAGACGGGUGAGAAUCCCGUCCACCGAUUGACUAAGGUUUCCAGAGGAAGGCUCGUCCGCUCUGGGUUAGUCGGGUCCUAAGCUGAGGCCGACAGGCGUAGGCGAUGGAUAACAGGUUGAUAUUCCUGUACCACCUAUAAUCGUUUUAAUCGAUGGGGGGACGCAGUAGGAUAGGCGAAGCGUGCGAUUGGAUUGCACGUCUAAGCAGUAAGGCUGAGUAUUAGGCAAAUCCGGUACUCGUUAAGGCUGAGCUGUGAUGGGGAGAAGACAUUGUGUCUUCGAGUCGUUGAUUUCACACUGCCGAGAAAAGCCUCUAGAUAGAAAAUAGGUGCCCGUACCGCAAACCGACACAGGUAGUCAAGAUGAGAAUUCUAAGGUGAGCGAGCGAACUCUCGUUAAGGAACUCGGCAAAAUGACCCCGUAACUUCCGGGAGAAGGGGUGCUCUUUAGGGUUAACGCCCAGAAGAGCCGCAGUGAAUUAGGCCCAAGCGACUGUUUAUCAAAAACACAGGUCUCUGCUAAACCGUAAGGUGAUGUAUAGGGGCUGACGCCUGCCCGGUGCUGGAAGGUUAAGAGGAGUGGUUAGCUUCUGCGAAGCUACGAAUCGAAGCCCCAGUAAACGGCGGCCGUAACUAUAACGGUCCUAAGGUAGCGAAAUUCCUUGUCGGGUAAGUUCCGACCCGCACGAAAGGCGUAACGAUUUGGGCACUGUCUCAACGAGAGACUCGGUGAAAUCAUAGUACCUGUGAAGAUGCAGGUUACCCGCGACAGGACGGAAAGACCCCGUGGAGCUUUACUGUAGCCUGAUAUUGAAAUUCGGCACAGCUUGUACAGGAUAGGUAGGAGCCUUUGAAACGUGAGCGCUAGCUUACGUGGAGGCGCUGGUGGGAUACUACCCUAGCUGUGUUGGCUUUCUAACCCGCACCACUUAUCGUGGUGGGAGACAGUGUCAGGCGGGCAGUUUGACUGGGGCGGUCGCCUCCUAAAAGGUAACGGAGGCGCUCAAAGGUUCCCUCAGAAUGGUUGGAAAUCAUUCAUAGAGUGUAAAGGCAUAAGGGAGCUUGACUGCGAGACCUACAAGUCGAGCAGGGUCGAAAGACGGACUUAGUGAUCCGGUGGUUCCGCAUGGAAGGGCCAUCGCUCAACGGAUAAAAGCUACCCCGGGGAUAACAGGCUUAUCUCCCCCAAGAGUUCACAUCGACGGGGAGGUUUGGCACCUCGAUGUCGGCUCAUCGCAUCCUGGGGCUGUAGUCGGUCCCAAGGGUUGGGCUGUUCGCCCAUUAAAGCGGUACGCGAGCUGGGUUCAGAACGUCGUGAGACAGUUCGGUCCCUAUCCGUCGUGGGCGUAGGAAAUUUGAGAGGAGCUGUCCUUAGUACGAGAGGACCGGGAUGGACAUACCUCUGGUGUACCAGUUGUCGUGCCAACGGCAUAGCUGGGUAGCUAUGUGUGGACGGGAUAAGUGCUGAAAGCAUCUAAGCAUGAAGCCCCCCUCAAGAUGAGAUUUCCCAACUUCGGUUAUAAGAUCCCUCAAAGAUGAUGAGGUUAAUAGGUUCGAGGUGGAAGCAUGGUGACAUGUGGAGCUGACGAAUACUAAUCGAUCGAAGACUUAAUCAA
rnacentral:rRNA from 1 species